GUAGUACUACCCGGAAAUACUUGUUAUCAAGAUAAAUAAAAGAAGAUGUAUCUAGUGUAUUUUAGUUCUAGAUACAUCAUUUUUUAUCUAUUUUGAUAACAAGUAUUUUCGGGCGGAGGAGGUAGUGU
rnacentral:pre_miRNA from 1 species